UACCCGCAGCUCAAGUGGUGGUCAUUAUUAUUGGGCCUAAAGCAUCCGUAGCCGGUUCUACAAGUCUUCCGUUAAAUCCAUCUGCUUAACAGAUGGGCUGCGGAAGAUACUAUAGAGCUAGGAGGCGGGAGAGGCAAGCGGUACUCGAUGGGUAGGGGUAAAAUCCGUUGAUCCAUUGAAGACCACCAGUGGCGAAGGCGGCUUGCCAGAACGCGCUCGACGGUGAGGGAUGAAAGCUGGGGGAGCAAACCGG
rnacentral:rRNA from 1 species